GUUCUGACGCUCAAGAACGUUAGCGUGGGUAGCGAACGGGAUUAGAUACCCCGGUAGUGCCACGCCCUGAACGAUGAACACUAGGUAGUAGAGGUCUGGACCCGUUCAGUGCCGACGCAAAUGCAAUAAGUGUUCCGCCUGGGUAGUACGAGCGCAAGCUUGGAACUCAAAGGAAUAGACGGGGACCCACACAAUCGGUGGAGCAUCUGGUUUAAUUCGACAAUAAGCGAGGAACCUUACCAAGGCUUGACAUCCCGAGAAGAUCGCCGAAAGGUGAUUGUGCCGUUAGGAACUCGGUGACAGGUGCUGCAUGGUUGUCGUCAGCUCGUGCCUUGAGGUGUUCGGUUAAGUCCGUGAACGAGCGCAACCCUUGUCUCAAGUUGCAUAUUUCUUGAGAGACUGCCGGUUUCAAAUCGGAGGAAGGUAAGGAUGACGUCAAAUCAGCAUGGCCCUUAUGUCUUGGGCGACACAGGUGCUACAAUGGCCGGUACAAUGGGCAGCGAAGGAGCAAUCUGGAGCAAAUCCUCAAAACCGGUCCAAGUUCGAAUUGAAGGCUGCAACUCGCCUUCAUGAAGUUGGAAUCGCUAGUAACCGCAUAUCAGCCAUGGUGCGGUGAAUCCGUUCCUGGGUCUUGUACUCACCGCCCGUCAAGUCUUGAAAGAUGGGGGUGCCCGAAGUACCCUUAGCUAAUUUAGCGGGGUUCCUAAGGGCAAAACCAUUGAUUGGGACUAAGUCGUAA
rnacentral:rRNA from 1 species